AAUUUAGUCAGGACAUUCAGGUUUACAAACACUAAUAUCAUUCACAAAAGGCCAGAAUGGACUUUAAUUGCUGUGGUUCUUCUGUCAGUAUUAACAGAAGUGUCACCAUUGCUGAGAGAGUCAUUGGCAAGUCCGUCUCCAUUGGAGUACAUCUCCUCUCUCAUGAGCGAACUGAAAGUGGAGGACAAAGAUCUACACAAUCUUGUACUGCUCUUCAAACCCUGCGUUACUC